GAUGAAGAACGUAGCGAAAUGCGAUAAGUAGUGUGAAUUGCAGAAUUCAGUGAAUCAUCGAAUCUUUGAACGCACAUUGCGCCCCUUGGUAUUCCAUGGGGCAUGCCUGUUCGAGCGUCAUUUGUACACUCAAGCUUUGCUUGGUGUUGGGUGUUUGUCCCGCGUUGCGCGUGGACUCGCCUUAAAGCGAUUGGCAGCCGGCAUAUUGGCCUUGGAGCGCAGCACAUUUUGCGCUUCUAGUCAUGAAUGUUGGCGUCCAUUAAGCCUAUACAUUUGCUCUUGACCUCGGAUCAGGUAGGGAUACCCGCUGAACUUAAGCAUAUCAAUAAGCGUAGGA
rnacentral:misc_RNA from 1 species